AGCUCAAAUUUGAAAUCUGGCUCUUUCAGGGUCCGAGUUGUAGUCUAGAGAAGCAUCAUCCGUGCUGGACCAUGUACAAGUCUCUUGGAACAGAGCGUCAUAGAGGGUGAGAAUCCCGUCCUUGACAUGGACUCCCAGUACUUUGUGUUGUGCUCUCAAC
rnacentral:rRNA from 1 species